GAUGAACGCUGGCGGCGUGCCUAAUACAUGCAAGUCGAGCGAACAGAUGAGAAGCUUGCUUCUCGGAUGUUAGCGGCGGACGGGUGAGUAACACGUGGGUAACCUACCUAUAAGACUGGGAUAACUCCGGGAAACCGGGGCUAAUACCGGAUAAUAUUUUGAACCGCAUGGUUCAAUAGUGAAAGACGGUUUCGGCUGUCACUUAUAGAUGGACCCGCGCCGUAUUAGCUAGUUGGUAAGGUAACGGCUUACCAAGGCGACGAUACGUAGCCGACCUGAGAGGGUGGUCGGCCACACUGGAACUGAGACAAGGUCCAGACUCCUACGGGAGGCAGCAGUAGGGAAUCUUCCGCAAUGGGCGAAAGCCUGACAGAGCAACGCCGCGUGAGUGAUGAAGGUCUUCGGAUCGUAAAACUCUGUUGUUAGGGAAGAACAAAUUUGUUAGUAACUGAACAAGUCUUGACGGUACCUAACCAGAAAGCCACGGCUAACUACGUGCCAGCAGCCGCGGUAA
rnacentral:rRNA from 1 species